rnacentral:lncRNA from 1 species
UGACUUCACCAGGAGGUUCUCCCUCACUGGUCCUCUUCAGGCUCCGGAGCAGUAGUCCCGGAUCCCACAAAAUCCUGGGAGAAGGCGGAGGGCGCGCUGCUAGGGCACUGGUGCAGAGCCAUCCAUGGUCAGAGAUAGGACUGGGGUCCAGGAUACCUUCUUUCUUUGGUGCGAUGGUAGAGAGCAAACGGUGGAAGCUUCUCUUAGCGUUCGUUUCUGUGAGCUUCGAUAAGAGGGACGAAAGCAAGGUAAUGCAUCCUGAGCGUUUAGUCAGGGUAUGCCGCCGCGUCCUCCCAAACAACAGCUACAGAAACAACGAACAAAACAAAAU